GCCCCAGGCUCUGGGAUAGCCACCGGAAACGGUGAUCAAUACCGGAUACGACAACCGAUUGCAUGAUCUGGUUGUGGAAAGUUUUUCGGCCUGGGAUGUGCUCGCGGCCUAUCAGCUUGUUGGUGAGGUAAUGGCUCACCAAGGCUUCGACGGGUAGCCGGCCUGAGAGGGUGACCGGCCACACUGGGACUGAGACACGGCCCAGACUCCUACGGGAGGCAGCAGUGGGGAAUAUUGGACAAUGGGCGGAAGCCUGAUCCAGCAACGCCGCGUGAGGGAUGACGGCCUUCGGGUUGUAAACCUCUUUCAGCACAGACGAAGCGAAAGUGACGGUAUGUGCAGAAGAAGGACCGGCCAACUACGUGCCAGCAGCCGCGGUAAUACGUAGGGUCCGAGCGUUGUCCGGAAUUAUUGGGCGUAAAGGGCUCGUAGGCGGUCUGUCGCGUCGGGAGUGAAAACCAGGUGCUUAACACCUGGCCUGCUUUCGAUACGGGCAGACUAGAGGUACUCAGGGGAGAAUGGAAUUCCUGGUGUAGCGGUGAAAUGCGCAGAUAUCAGGAGGAACACCGGUGGCGAAGGCGGUUCUCUGGGAGUAUCCUG
rnacentral:rRNA from 1 species